rnacentral:tRNA from 3 species
ACGGAGCACCCGCUCCCUAGGACA